rnacentral:rRNA from 1 species
UACGAAGGGGGCGAGCGUUGUUCGGAUUUACUGGGCGUAAAGGGCGCGCAGGCGGUCUUGAAAGUCAGGCGUGAAAGCCCCGGGCUUAACCUGGGAAUUGCGCUUGAUACUCUGAGACUGGAGUACGGGAGAGGAGAGUGGAAUUCCCAGUGUAGAGGUGAAAUUCGUAGAUAUUGGGAAGAACACCAAUGGCGAAGGCAGAUCUCUGGGCCGUAACUGACGCUGAGGAGCGAAAGCAUGGGGAGCGAACAGG